rnacentral:rRNA from 8 species
GAUUACCCGCUGAACUUAA